rnacentral:rRNA from 1 species
GACGAACGCUGGCGGCGUGCCUAAUACAUGCAAGUUGAGCGCUGAAGGUUGGUACUUGUACCAACUGGAUGAGCAGCGAACGGGUGAGUAACGCGUGGGGAAUCUGCCUUUGAGCGGGGGACAACAUUUGGAAACGAAUGCUAAUACCGCAUAAAAACUUUAAACACAAGUUUUAAGUUUGAAAGAUGCAAUUGCAUCACUCAAAGAUGAUCCCGCGUUGUAUUAGCUAGUUGGUGAGGUAAAGGCUAACCAAGGCGAUGAUACAUAGCCGACCUGAGAGGGUGAUCGGACACAUUGGGACUGAGACACGGCCCAAACUCCUACGGGAGGCAGCAGUAGGGAAUCUUCGGCAAUGGACGAAAGUCUGACCGAGCAACGCCGCGUGAGUGAAGAAGGUUUUCGGAUCGUAAAACUCUGUUGGUAGAGAAGAACGUUGGUGAGAGUGGAAAGCUCAUCAAGUGACGGUAACUACCCAGAAAGGGACGGCUAACUACGUG